CUGCCUCCCAACAGCGGGCGCUCCCGCGACGGUGUCCUUAUAUGCUCCAUGUUCCUCUCGAAGGACCUUCUAUCUGGUGUUCCCGGUGCCAUUGUCCCUCGAUAGCCCGCCCUCAUGAAUGGUGUUCUAAAACAGCACGGGUCUGCCAUUUGAGGGCUAGCCAGAACCGACGGUUGUGGAGGAAGAACACCGGCAAGAGGAGGUGGGCUUUUCGCCGUCCUGACCGUCACCGGCUUCCCCUUCGAUAUGACGUAAACUGCACAAAACUCCGGCGCCAGCUUACCAAUGUUUGUGGGCACAUCAGGGUUCCUGAACUUCCUGCAAAGCCAAACCAGAGAUUUCUUCUUCUUCUGUUGGAAAACAAAUACGAGAGAUUCAUAGAUUGCAGAGGCUACGAAGAAGUGGCGGUACUUCGUCAGUGCAUUUCUGCUGGAGGCACCGACAACGAUGUUCUGGAUGUAGUUUGCAUUGAUGUAGUCGAUGAUGGCCUUCGACACGUCGUUGUCUUCCAAACAAUGUCGAGGGAAAAGGAGGAGAAAUUGUGGCUUCCGAGGGCAACUGCUACUCACCCCUUUUCGAGCGCAGAAUCCCCUGAAGGGGAGAAACAGCUGUGACAUCUCGUUCUCCGCUUGUUCUCGGAUCGCAUCGGAGGUGGUUUCAUCUGCAGCAACAACAACCGAGUCAUGUACACCAACCAGCUACGACGACGAAAGGUAAGAGACGAGAAUUAGGAGCAACGGGCGCAUGAGGAAGAAGGCGUUCGGGUACAUGUUCGUACGCAUGAGCAACCAAAGGGGGAGGGGUACCUACGGU